AAAAUCUCAUAAAAUUGAACUCAUUGAACCGUAGUUCUCGCAAGAGUUUCUCCUCCCUUGCAGAAACCUUAAAGGCCGCCCCUCUCACCGGCGUGUCCAACCUCGGCUGAGCGCGUACGGCAACACCGCCGCUGUCAUCGGAUAGCUAACACCCCCUCUCUCCCUUUGCGGUGCUUGUUCUUCGAUGGCCUCCCCCAUUGUCCUCUCUUCUUCCUCUUCCAUUUCUCCCCGCGGUCAGAUCUGGGGUUGUAGAAGGUGGCUCGACUCCGGAACCCGUUACGUUUCGCCGCCCUUCAUGAAGGUCCUCUACUGAUGCCUACUCUCUGCGCGAUGGUCUAGGGCACCCGUGUCGUUACCACCCUCAGAUCUGCGGCAGUGAUGGUGGCAAAAGGCUUCCUCGGAGGUCGUAGUUGUCCAUCUCCUCCUUGCAGCUCCGGUGAGGCCAUAUGGCGGUGGUUUUAACUUUUAACCCCUUCCCUUCGGUGGCAGACGCCUCCCCCUCUCCGGCAACUCUGUGGGACAAGCAACGGCCUGACCCUCGACUCACCAGACCAUGAGCGACUGGAGGAUCGAUGAAGACGGCGACUAGGAUCUCCCUUAAUGGCAACCAUUGCCUGCGCACCUCCCUCCUACCACCAUCACUGUUUCUGCUCCCGGGACAAUCCCUGGUCUGAACCGGUGCAUUGGCAACCUUGGUUUGAUUGUCCAGGAUUGCAGUUUAGGAAUACGUAAGACUAAACUGAUCUAGGGCUGUAUUUUGCGGUGGAAUCUUGCGCACGGAUACCGACCCAAUGCCUCCAGACUAUCCUACUUUUUCCACUCGAAAUGGAGUGGAUUUCAUCCCAGAUUUUUGGACUAGGAUCAAAUUCCCCCUUCCCAGAUAAUAUUGGGGUUUGUGAUGAAAUUAAACUAGCGGGUCGACAGCGAAUUCUGAUGACAAAUGACAAUUGUAUCUGUAUUUUCUUGCUGUGAUUUUUCACUUAUUUUACCUUUGUCAUUUGUUCGAUAGAUAAACCGUUUUUUUUUUCGUUCUUGUAAUAUCCGAUUUGGACAUUUUACCUUGUAUCUGCUUUUGACGUGGAUUUUUAAUGAAUUCACUUUGCCCAGCAAAAAAGAAAAGAAGUAACAGUUUCUACUGUCUAUUUGGCCCGGGAUUUAUGAGGAAAUGAAAUGUCUUUUAUUAA